UACGUAGGGGUGCAGCGUUGUCCGGAUUUAUUGGGCGUAAAGAGCGUGUAGGCGGCCAGGUAGGUCUGGUGUGAAAACUCGAGGCUUAACCUCGAGAUGUCAUCGGAAACCAUCUGGCUAGAGUCCGGAAGAGGAGAGUGGAAUUCCUGGUGUAGCGGUGAAAUGCGCAGAUAUCAGGAAGAACACCAAUGGCGAAAGCAGCUCUCUGGGACGGUACUGACGCUGAGACGCGAAAGCGUGGGGAGCGAACAGG
rnacentral:rRNA from 1 species